AUCAAAUGAUGCCAAUACAAGUUAUUGCUGUCUUUGAGGAAUUACAAAAUCGAGUUUUUUAAAACUGAUGGUU